GGUAAAGACACCGGCAUUAUUAGCCUAAAAAUUCCCCGUGUCGCCAACUGAGGGAGGAAAAGAAAAGUAGAUCACCACUCAGUCCCCCUUUCUCCUGAAUGAGCAUCCUUCUGUGAGCCUAGCUCGUCCACCCGUAGGCUGGCACAACACCGUUUGGCAGUUCCCACAAACCACAACGGUUUGUGAGUGGCUAAAAACAGUAGUUCUG